rnacentral:rRNA from 1 species
UACGUAGGGGGCGAGCGUUGUCCGGAUUUAUUGGGCGUAAAGAGCGUGUAGGCGGUUCGGUAAGUCUGUCGUGAAAUCCUGAGGCUCAACCUCGGGCGUGCGAUGGAUACUGCCGGGCUAGAGGGUGGUAGAGGCGAGUGGAAUUCCCGGUGUAGGGGUAAAAUCCGUUGAUAUCGGGAAGAACACCAGUGGCGAAGGCGCCUUGCUGGGCCAUCACUGACGCUCAGGGACGAAAGCGUGGGUAGCGAACGGG